rnacentral:rRNA from 1 species
CCUACGGGAGGCAGCAGUGGGGAAUUUUGGACAAUGGGCGCAAGCCUGAUCCAGCAAUGCCGCGUGCAGGAUGAAGGCCUUCGGGUUGUAAACUGCUUUUGUACGGAACGAAACGGCCCUUUCUAAUACAAGGGGCUAAUGACGGUACCGUAAGAAUAAGCACCGGCUAACUACGUGCCAGCAGCCGCGGUAAUACGUAGGGUGCGAGCGUUAAUCGGAAUUACUGGGCGUAAAGCGUGCGCAGGCGGUUAUAUAAGACAGAUGUGAAAUCCCCGGGCUCAACCUGGGACCUGCAUUUGUGACUGUAUAGCUAGAGUACGGUAGAGGGGGAUGGAAUUCCGCGUGUAGCAGUGAAAUGCGUAGAUAUGCGGAGGAACACCGAUGGCGAAGGCAAUCCCCUGGACCUGUACUGACGCUCAUGCACGAAAGCGUGGGGAGCAAACAGGAUUAGAUACCCUGGUAGUCCACGCCCUAAACGAUGUCAACUGGUUGUUGGGUCUUCACUGACUCAGUAACGAAAGNUAACGACGUGAGUAGUACGCCGCGGGAGGACGGCCGGCCGAGUAGUAACGUAACGAAAGAAAGUAGUAGGCGNGAGAGAGCGACGACGACGACGAGGGAGGAGGAG